rnacentral:lncRNA from 1 species
AAGGAACUGAGACCCAAAGGAGUUGAAGAACUUCCUCAAGACAACGCAGUUAGAAAGUAUCAGAAACAGGAUUCAAGAUAAAGUUCUCCGAUGCCAGACACAGUUGCUAUGUUCUUUGGACUUUGGACUGUUACAUUCUCUCCUUGGAAAUGGAGCAGACUAUUCAGGCACUUAUUUUAAUAAUCAGAAGAUGAGAAGCACUCAUGAGUACUUUUAUGGUUACAAGAGUACCGUGCAUUACAAUGCCAGAACCCAAGGAAUCCGCAAGAGACCUUCAAAACCAUACCAGAAUUCCUCAGUAUGCCAUAUAAACAUAUGGAGCAGUCGAGGAGAAAAACAAGUUAGAAAUUCUACUUUUAAUUUAAAGGGAAAGCUACUUGUACUUGGGAGGGAAAAGAAAAGUGAGAAAACCACAUGGAAGACUCACAGGAUUUAAAUGAACAAUCAGUAAAGAAAACGUGCUCAGAAACAGAUGUUUCAGAACCUCAGAAUUCCAGGUCUAUGGAAAUGCAGGACCUAGCAAGUCCUCAUACACUUGUUGGAAGUAGUGAUACUCCUGGUAGCUCCAAACUGGAUAAAUCUAAUCUCAGCAACACAUCAGUUACAACAAAUGGGACAGGAGUAAUAACGAGUAGUGGCUACAGUCCCAGAUCAGCACAUCAGUACUCUCCACAAUUGUAUCCCUCCAAGCCCUAUCCACACAUUCUUUCUACACCAGCAGCUCAAACAAUGUCUGCCUAUGCUGGACAGACUCAAUAUUCAGGAAUGCAGCAGCCAGCAGUGUACACAGCCUACUCACAGACAGGACAACCUUACAGCUUACCCACUUACGAUUUAGGUGUGAUGUUGCCAGGCAUCAAGACAGAAAGUGGACUUUCACAAACCCAGUCACCACUACAGACGGGGUGCCUCAGUUACAGUCCAGGGUUUUCUACCCCCCAGCCAGGCCAAACACCUUAUUCUUACCAAAUGCCAGGUUCUAGUUUUGCACCAUCAUCCACUAUUUAUGCAAAUAAUUCUGUUUCUAAUUCAACGAAUUUCAGUAGCUCACAGCAGGAUUAUCCAUCAUAUACAGCCUUUGGCCAAAACCAAUAUGCACAGUAUUAUUCAGCAUCAACGUAUGGAGCAUAUAUGACUUCAAAUAACACAGCUGAUGGCACAUCUUCAUCUUCAUCAACAUAUCAGCUGCAGGAAUCUCUCCCUGGACUGACUAGUCAACCAGGUACAGAUCUCCAUUCAGGAGAUUUUGAUACAGUGCAGAGCCCUUCCACACCCAUCAAAGACCUUGAUGAGAGAACAUGUAGGAGUUCUGGGUCAAAGUCCCGAGGAAGAGGCCGGAAGAAUAAUCCAUCACCUCCACCAGACAGUGACUUGGAGCGUGUAUUUGUCUGGGAUUUGGAUGAAACCAUCAUCGUUUUUCACUCACUGCUUACAGGGUCCUAUGCACAGAAGUAUGGCAAGGAAUGUGAUCAAGUUCAUAUAGAUGAUGUUUCUUCUGAUGAUAAUGGUCAAGACUUAAGUACCUACAGCUUUGCAACUGAUGGCUUCCAUGCAGCUGCAAGUAGUGCAAACCUUUGUUUGCCAACAGGUGUAAGAGGAGGGGUUGACUGGAUGAGGAAGCUGGCUUUUCGUUACAGAAGAGUAAAAGAAUUAUAUAAUACCUACAAGAACAAUGUAGGAGGACUCCUUGGCCCAGCUAAGAGAGAUGCAUGGCUGCAAUUAAGAGCAGAGAUUGAAGGUCUAACAGACUCCUGGCUGACAAAUGCACUUAAAUCCUUAUCAAUUAUUAGUACUAGGAGUAACUGUGUAAAUGUCUUGGUAACAACAACUCAGCUUAUCCCAGCACUUGCAAAAGUCCUACUCUAUAGUUUGGGAGGUGCUUUUCCUAUUGAAAAUAUUUACAGUGCAACUAAAAUAGGCAAAGAAAGCUGUUUUGAGCGUAUAGUGUCCAGAUUUGGCACUAACAUAACUUAUGUUGUGAUUGGAGAUGGCCGAGAUGAGGAGCAUGCCGCUAACCAGAACAGACUGCCAUCACAG